rnacentral:rRNA from 1 species
GGUACGGGGGGGGCAAGCGUUGUUCGGAAUUACUGGGGCGUAAAGGGCUCGGUAGGACGGCCAACUAAGUCGGAUCGUGAAAUCCCCAGCUUAACCUGGGAACUGCAUCCGAUACUGGAUGGCUUGAAUCCGGGAGAGGGAUGCAGAAUUCCAGGUGUAGCGGUGAAAUGCGUAGAUAUUGGAAAGAACACCGAUGGCGAAGGCACUUUACUGGGCUAUUACUAACACUCAGAGACGAAAGCUAGGGUAGCAAAUGGG